CUGUCUCUCUAAGAACCGACCAAUGACUCUCGGCUCAUAAAAUGAAAUUCUUCGUUACUUUCACAAUGAAAUGUAUUUACCCCAAGAACAAACAAACACUAUUUGGAAUUUUGAAAUUUUAUUAAUUUUUAAAAUUUCAGCGACUUUUCGGCCCGCGCCGUCGGGCAGAAAAUCCUCUGCCUAAAUCAGGAAUAAAAAUUAGCCGAAUUCAAAUACAUAUAAUUUUAAAAGUAUUCAACCAAAUUUUAUGAUUUUUUAACCCACUAACGUGAAAAUUAUUCUACUUUGAAACUUACCUUGUUUUAUGAUACUUUUACAGAAAGAUUAUGGCAAACUUUAGCGAUAACAAGCACCGGGU